CGGGUGAGUAACGCGUGGGUAACCUGCCUCAUACAGGGGGAUAACAGUUAGAAAUGACUGCUAAUACCGCAUAAGCGCACAGUACCGCAUGGUACAGUGUGAAAAACUCCGGUGGUGUGAGAUGGAUCCGCGUCUGAUUAGCCAGUUGGCGGGGUAACGGCCCACCAAAGCGACGAUCAGUAGCCGACCUGAGAGGGUGACCGGCCACAUUGGGACUGAGACACGGUCCAA
rnacentral:rRNA from 1 species